UUGGAGGGCAAGUCUGGUGCCAGCAGCCGCGGUAACUCCAGCUCCAAUAGCGUAUAUUAAAGUUGUUGCAGUUAAAAAGCUCGUAGUUGAAUUUCGGAAUCUGUCCGUCGGUCGGGCUUCACUGUCCGUACUGGUGUGAUGGGUUUCUACCUUCUGAAUAAUCGGCAUGUCAUUAAUUUGGUGCGCCGGGGAAGCAGAGCUAUUACCUUGAAAAAAUUAGAGUGCUUAAAGCAGGCUAUCGCCUGAAUAGAUUAGCAUGGAAUAAUAAAAUAGGACGGCAUGGUUCUAUUUUGUUGGUUUCUAGGAUCACCGUAAUGAUUAAUAGGGAUAGUUGGGGGCAUUAGUAUUCAAUUGUCAGAGGUGAAAUUCUUGGAUUUAUUGAAGACUAACUUCUGCGAAAGCAUUUGCCAAGGAUGUUUUCAUUAAUCAAGAACGAAAGUUAGGGGAUCGAAGACGAUCAGAUACCGUCGUAGUCUUAACCAUAAACUAUGCCGACUAGGGAUCGGACGAUGUUAAUUUUUUAAUGACUCGUUCGGCGCCUUACGGGAAAC
rnacentral:rRNA from 1 species